GGGGCGAGCGUUGUCCGGAUUUAUUGGGCGUAAAGGGCGUGUAGGCGGCUGCUUAAGUCAGAAGCGAAAAUCCGGGGCUCAACCCCGGACCUGCUUCUGAAACUGGGCGGCUUGAGUGCUCUAGAGGGCAGUGGAAUUCCCGGUGUAGCAGUGAAAUGCGUAGAGAUCGGGAGGAACACCAGUGGCGAAGGCGACUGCCUGGGGAGCAACUGACGCUGAGGCGCGAAAGCUGGGGGAGCAAACGGGAUUAGAUACCCCGGUAGUCCCAGCCGUAAACGAUGGGUGCUAGGUGUGAGGGGUAUCGACCCCCCUCGUGCCGCAACAAACGCAAUAAGCACUCCGCCUGGGGAGUACGGCCGCAAGGUUGAAACUCAAAGGAAUUGACGGA
rnacentral:rRNA from 1 species